UAGGCGUUCCCGUUCGAUCAUCCCACCCACUCCAUCCUUGCUUGGUUCCUGCCUGCUCCGCUUAGACCGGGAAGGAGGCGGAACUAAUGGUACGGACCGCCUGACGGUUCCCAGCCGGACAGAAGAGCGGAGGGCACUGGGCGUCGCGCCGCGCGAGCCCGGGGCCAUCUAAGUGCUGCUCCCGCGACAUGGCUUUCAAUUUUGGGGCUCCUUCGGGCACUUCGGGCACCUCUACAGCCACCGCGGCACCGGCGGGAUUUGGUGGGCUUGAGACUGCCAACUCCACCGCCGGUGGGUUUAAUUUUGGGGGUUUCGGAUUAACCGCUAACCCUGCAGUGAACUUUAAUAUUGGGAAUUUCGGUGUUUCUACUACCUCGGCGACUCCGUUCAAUUUUGGUAACAGUCUGGCGAGUGCAGGUGGGUUUGGAGGAUUUGGAACAACAACUACAACUGCAGGCUCUGCCUUCAGCUUUUCAGCCCCAACAAACACAGGCAGUACAGGCCUUCUCGGUGGCACUCAGAACAAAGGUUUUGGCUUUGGUACUGGUUUUGGCACAACGACGGGAACUGGCACUGGUUUAGGCACUGGCUUGGGAACCGGACUUGGAUUUGGAGGAUUUAAUACCCAGCAGCAGCAGCAGCAGCAGCAGACUUCUUUAGGUGGUCUCUUCAGUCAGCCGACCCAGGCUCCUGCACAGUCUACCCAGCUCAUCAACACUGCCAGCGCACUUUCUGCUCCAACGCUACUGGGGGAUGAGAGAGACGCCAUCUUGGCAAAGUGGAACCAGUUGCAGGCCUUCUGGGGAACAGGAAAAGGAUAUUUCAAUAAUAACAUUCCUCCAGUGGAGUUUACCCAGGAGAAUCCCUUUUGCCGGUUUAAGGCUGUAGGCUAUAGUUGUAUGCCCAAUAAUAAAGAUGAAGAUGGACUAGUAGUUUUAAUUUUCAACAAAAAAGAAACAGAUAUUAGAAGCCAGCAACAGCAAUUGGUAGAAUCAUUGCAUAAAGUUUUGGGAGGAAACCAGACCCUUACGGUCAAUGUGGAGGGCAUUAAGACGUUGCCGGAUGAUCAGACGGAAGUUGUCAUUUAUGUUGUUGAGCGUUCUCCAAAUGGCACCUCGAGAAGAGUUCCAGCGACAACACUGUAUGCCCACUUUGAGCAAGCCAACAUUAAAGCCCAGCUGCAGCAGCUUGGGGUGACCCUUUCUAUGACCAGGACAGAGCUGUCUCCCGCUCAGAUCAAGCAGCUCUUACAAAACCCUCCCGCAGGUGUUGAUCCUAUUAUUUGGGAACAGGCCAAGGUGGAUAACCCAGACUCUGAAAAGUUAAUUCCUGUACCAAUGGUGGGUUUCAAAGAAUUGCUUCGAAGACUGAAGGUUCAAGAUCAGAUGACUAAGCAGCAUCAGACCAGACUAGAUCAUUUCUUUGUCCAGAACUUCCAGUAUAGUUUCUCUUAUGACACUUCCUAGACCCUUUAAGCUGUGGACACUGAAUUCAUGAGGAUCAUGUGUAGCUUCACAGUGAGUCCUUCAGCUUCUGAUUCCCCUGCUUCCGUCUCCCAGGUGCUGGGGUUCUAACGUCAUUACACCUGAUCAUAUCUGAAGAUAUUAGUGAACUGCAAAAAAAUCAAACUACGACUAUGGCCAAAAUAGCACAAUACAAGAGGAAACUGAUGGAGCUCUCCCACAGGACCUUACAGGUCCUAAUCAAACAGGAAAUCCAGAGGAAGAGUGGCUAUGCGAUCCAGGCUGAUGAAGAGCAGUUGCGGGUUCAGCUAGAUACUAUUCAAGGGGAACUGAAUGCGCCCACUCAGUUCAAAGGUCGGCUGAAUGAGCUGAUGUCCCAGAUCAGGAUGCAGAAUCAUUUUGGAGCCGUGAAAUCUGAAGAAAAGUACUACAUAGAUGCAGACCUGUUACGAGAAAUCAAGCAGCAUUUGAAACAACAACAGGAAGGCCUUAGCCACUUGAUUAGCAUCAUAAAAGAUGACCUAGAAGACAUAAAACUGGUAGAACAUGGAUUGAAUGAGACCAUCCAUAGCAGAGGCGGUGUCUUUAGCUGACCGUUUACAGACUUGUUGCAGAGAUUGAUAAAAUGCGUCUCCUUGCUACAUCGAGCCUUCUUCACGAUGACCACAUGGCCGGGGAAAAGGAUGCUUCUCCUCACUGGGAUGUCUGCGAUCCUCAGAGGUUACUGUACGUUAAAUCUGAAAUGGUCACCACAAAGCCCUUCAAAGAGAAUCUUUGAAAAGUUUAUAUCUAAAAGCUGUAUUUACUUUUAAAGAAGUGUUACCCAAAGCAUACACUGUUGUUCAUUUUAUAACAGCGUUAAGCGUAGUCACGGAGCCUGAUGGUUAUUCUCCGUUCUCCUCUCCAUAGCACAGAGCGCCACAGAGCUACUUCCUACAUGACACAACAAACUGGGAUUCCAUGCCUGUUGGAGGCUGUGCUUCAGGGUAUAAAUGCAUUUCAGCUUUUAUAUCUGUGAAAUCAGCUGUGGAGAGUAAAGAAAAUCCCAAAGUAUUUAAUGAUUUGUGUGGUUUUCCUUUUGUUCUAGAAAGACUUGAAAAUAUAUUUUUAUAUUAUUUUACUUAUUUAGAACUUACAGAAAAUACCUAACCGGUUAGGAUAUGACAAAAUCACCACUUUUGCAAGCUGUUUUGUUUUGUUUUGUUUUUUUAUUUCUAAAAAUGAAAUCCUUAAAAUAAAUUGUUAAUUUGUAAUUUUA